rnacentral:rRNA from 1 species
UCGAGGAUCUUCCACAAUGGGCGAAAGCCUGAUGGAGCGACGCCGCGUGUGCGAUGAAGGCCUUCGGGUUGUAAAGCACUUUGGCAGGGGAGGAAAGCCGUAAGGUCUGACCUAUCCUGAGAACAAGCACGGGCUAAGUUCGUGCCAGCAGCCGCGGUAAGACGAACCGUGCGAACGUUGUUCGGAAUCACUGGGCUUAAAGGGCGCGUAGGCGGGUCACCAAGUCCGGGGUGAAAUCUUUCGGCUCAACCGGAAAAGGGCCUCGGAUACUGGUGGUCUUGAGGGAGGUAGGGGCAUGUGGAACUUCCGGUGGAGCGGUGAAAUGCGUUGAUAUCGGAAGGAACUCCGGUGGCGAAAGCGACGUGCUGGACCUCUUCUGACGCUGAGGCGCGAAAGCUAGGGGAGCGAACGGGAUUAGAUACCCCGGUAGUCC